rnacentral:rRNA from 1 species
CUCCUCUGACGUUAGCGGCGGACGGGUGAGUAACACGUGGAUAACCUACCUAUAAGACUGGGAUAACUUCGGGAAACCGGAGCUAAUACCGGAUAAUAUAUUGAACCGCAUGGUUCAAUAGUGAAAGACGGUUUUGCUGUCACUUAUAGAUGGAUCCGCGCCGCAUUAGCUAGUUGGUAAGGUAACGGCUUACCAAGGCAACGAUGCGUAGCCGACCUGAGAGGGUGAUCGGCCACACUGGAACUGAGACACGGUCCAGACUCCUACGGGAGGCAGCAGUAGGGAAUCUUCCGCAAUGGGCGAAAGCCUGACGGAGCAACGCCGCGUGAGUGAUUAAGGUCUUCGGAUCGUAAAACUCUGUUAUUAGGGAAGAACAAAUGUGUAAGUAACUAUGCACGUCUUGACGGUACCUAAUCAGAAAGCCACGGCUAACUACGUGCCAGCAGCCGCGGUAAUACGUAGGUGGCAAGCGUUAUCCGGAAUUAUUGGGCGUAAAGCGCGCGUAGGCGGUUUUUUAAGUCUGAUGUGAAAGCCCACGGCUCAACCGUGGAGGGUCAUUGGAAACUGGAAAACUUGAGUGCAGAAGAGGAAAGUGGAAUUCCAUGUGUAGCGGUGAAAUGCGCAGAGAUAUGGAGGAACACCAGUGGCGAAGGCGACUUUCUGGUCUGUAACUGACGCUGAUGUGCGAAAGCGUGGG